rnacentral:rRNA from 1 species
CCUACGGGAGGCUGCAGUGAGGAAUAUUGGUCAAUGGGCGGAAGCCUGAACCCGCCAAGUAGCGUGCGGGAUGAAGGCCCUACGGGUCGUAACCCGCUUUUGCACGGGGGUAACACCCUCCACUUUUUGAGGUCUGCAGGUACCGUGCGAAUAAGGGCCGGCUAAUUCCGUUCCAGCAGCCGCGGUACUACGGAAGGCCCGAGGGUUAUCCGGAUUCCUUGGGCUUAAAGGGAUCGUAGGCGUGCGUUCAAGUCAGCUGUAAAAUCGCGCGGCUCACCCGCGCACCGCAGUAGAAACUGGACGCCUUGAGUACACAACAGGCAGGCGGAAGUCGUGGUGUAGCGGUGAAAUGCAUAGAUAUCACGAGGAACCCCGAUUGCGAAGGCAGCCUGCCGGGGUGCGACUGACGCUGAGGCUCGAAGGUGCGGGUAUCAAACAGGAUUAGAUACCCGGGUAGUC